rnacentral:rRNA from 1 species
UGGGGAAUAUUGGACAAUGGGCGCAAGCCUGAUCCAGCAAUGCCGCGUGAGUGAUGAAGGCCUUAGGGUUGUAAAGCUCUUUCGCACGCGACGAUGAUGACGGUAGCGUGAGAAGAAGCCCCGGCUAACUUCGUGCCAGCAGCCGCGGUAAUACGAAGGGGGCUAGCGUUGUUCGGAAUUACUGGGCGUAAAGGGCGCGUAGGCGGCCUGUUUAGUCAGAAGUGAAAGCCCCGGGCUCAACCUGGGAAUAGCUUUUGAUACUGGCAGGCUUGAGUUCCGGAGAGGAUGGUGGAAUUCCCAGUGUAGAGGUGAAAUUCGUAGAUAUUGGGAAGAACACCGGUGGCGAAGGCGGCCAUCUGGACGGACACUGACGCUGAGGCGCGAAAGCGUGGGGAGCAAACAGAUUAGAUACCCUGGUAGUCCACGCCGUAAACGAUGAAUGCUAGACGUCGGGGUGCAUGCACUUCGGUGUCGCCGCUAACGCAUUAAGCAUUCCGCCUGGGGAGUACGGCCGCAAGGUUAAAACUCAAAGGAAUUGACGGGGUCAA